UACCAGCACCCCGAGUGGUCGGGACGUUUAUUGGGCCUAAAGCAUCCGUAGCCGGUUCUGCAAGUCUUCCGUUAAAUCCAGCCGCUCAACGGUUGGGCUGCGGAGGAUACUACGUGGCUAGGAGGCGGGAGAGGCAAGCGGUACUCAGUGGGUAGGGGUAAAAUCCUUUGAUCCAUUGAAGACCACCAGUGGCGAAGGCGGCUUGCCAGAACGCGCUCGACGGUGAGGGAUGAAAGCUGGGGGAGCAAACCGG
rnacentral:rRNA from 1 species